GACGAACGCUGGAGGCGUGCCUAAUACAUGCAAGUCGAACGCAGUGGGGACGGGUGAGUAACACGUUGGUAACCUCCCAUCAGAGGGGAUAACACUUGGACACAGGUGCUAAACCGAUACUGAUGGAUGGACCCGCGGUGCAUUCGCUAGUUGUUGAGGUAACGGCUCACCAAGGCCACUAUGCAUAGCCGACCUGAGAGGGGGAUCGGCCACACUGGGACUGAGACACGGACCAGACUCCUACGGGAGGCAGCAGUAGGGAAUCGUCUGCAAUGGACGAAAGUCUGACCGAGCAACGCCGCGUGAGUGAAGAAGGUUUUCGGAUCGUAAAACUCUGUUGUUAGAGAAGCGGUAUCUAACCAGAAAGCCACGGCUAACUACGUGCCAGCCGCCGUGGUAAUAC
rnacentral:rRNA from 1 species